AACAAGGGUUCAAACCCUUGUUCUUGAUAAAUCUUCAAAUUGAAGGGUGGAAUGAAGUCUAAAUUCACAACCGAACAUGAAUUAACGAUCACCUUCACAAGGGGAUCAUAAGGAGUCAUGUUAACAUGGACACAAGCAUGGAAGGGUAACGGGCCAAAGAUAAACACGGAAGCUAUGCUUGAACUCGGACGCACGAGGCUGUACAGGGUUAUGGAUAUUUCAUAAAGAAGUGUACGCGGUUGAAGAUCGAGUCAAGACAUGGAUUGUACGUGGGUGUGUAUGUGGUCACUUAAUUUGAUAUAUGUAUUUUAGUUUUGAUUUAUUUAUGAAAAGGGAUUAAUGUAAUUAAGUGAAAGAAAGAAUACCAUGAAAGAAAUUUUAGGUGUGUAUUUUCCGCUGCGAAUCUUAGGUUAAAACGUGUU